rnacentral:lncRNA from 1 species
GCACCGACUAUCGCUUCAGCUUUUUCUAAAGGGACUACAGCUCAAAUUCUGUCCGAACUCAGAUCCACCUAUCUCACUUGAAAAUCAUCUCAGCCUCCUCAUAGAUAUCCGGAUCCUCUCUUGUUGCAAAUAAACCAUCUGACAUAAUCUCUCCAGAGCUACGGCUCUCCGUUGCUCGCACAUCCUAUAUAGAAUCAUGCUGUGCAUCACCACCAUUGGUGUUGGAAUCUCGUUCCAUCCUUGCAUCCCUCAGCUCUAAACCUUUGCCA